GCUCCGACGGCAACAAAGGCCAAUGGAGAGGGGCGGGGGCACCGGGGACCGGAGGCAGCGGCCCCUGGCGGUCACCCAUCGCCAUGCAGCCCGGCGGGAGGGCUCCGGUAAAGGCGCCGCGGAACCGCGCAGUGGCGCCGAGUACUGGGCGCUGAGACCAGAGAUAUGAAAGAGACGCUGCCUACCCUGGAAGAUGUCACCGUCUUAACUUAAGUGCAUCUACUGAGCUCUACCUACGGGCUGGGAAGCACCUGUCUCCACUUUCUCACUUACAGCUCACGCCUGAAUUCAGUCAAUCCACUUCUGACCUCACCACGUCACUUAAAACACUUUUUGUGUCAAAAUUCAAAGGAUAAUUUUCAAUUAUUUCGCUGCAGCAUCUGACACUGUGCCUCUCCUUCCUUUUUGAGUCUUUUAUUUGGCUUCAGCAUUUUCUGAGGUCUCCUAUUGCCUAAGUCCUUUUCGGUUUUCUUCAAGAGCCCCCUCUCUUGUUUUUGAUCCAUUAGAAAAGUGUUCACCUUGUUUUCAAACCUAGCUGUCUUCUCAUUCUACUCUCCACUUUUUUGCUUAAAGGUCUCAUCCAUUCUUAUGGCUUAACUAUCCUUCCAAAUCUCUAUUUCCAACCAUGUCUCAGACUCAUUUCCAAGUGUCUGCUGGACAGCUCCACCUGGAUCUACCAGCAUU